rnacentral:rRNA from 1 species
GCGCAGCAGGCGCGAAACCUCCGCAAUACACGAAAGUGUGACGGGGCCAUCCCGAGUGCCGUCCGCUGAGGACGGCUUUUCCCCAGUGUACACAGCUGGGGGAAUAAGGAGAGGGCAAGCCUGGUGUCAGCCGCCGCGGUAAUACCAGCUCUCCGAGUGGUGGGGACGCUUAUUGGGCCUAAAGCAUCCGUAGCCGGCUGGGCAAGUCCUCCGUUAAAUCCAACGAUUCAAUCGUUGGGCUGCGGGGGAUACUGUCCAGCUUGGGGGGCGGGAGAGGCCGACGGUAUUCCCGGGGUAGGGGUGAAAUCCUAUAAUCCCGGGAGGACCACCAGUGGCGAAGGCUGUCGGCUAGAACGCGCCCGACGGUGAGGGAUGAAAGCGU